rnacentral:rRNA from 1 species
AGAGUUUGAUCAUGGCUCAGGAUGAACGCUAGCGACAGGCCUAACACAUGCAAGUCGAGGGGCAGCACUUCGGGUGGCGACCGGCGCACGGGUGAGUAACGCGUAUGCAACCUACCAUUUACAGGGGAAUAACCCGGAGAAAUCCGGACUAAUACCGCAUAACACUAUUGAUCAGCAUUGAAUAAUAGUUAAAGAUUUAUCGGUAAAUGAUGGGCAUGCGUGACAUUAGUUAGUUGGUAGGGUAACGGCCUACCAAGACAUCGAUGUCUAGGGGUUCUGAGAGGAAGGUCCCCCACACUGGUACUGAGACACGGACCAGACUCCUACGGGAGGCAGCAGUGAGGAAUAUUGGUCAAUGGGCGAGAGCCUGAACCAGCCAAGUCGCGUGCAGGAUGACUGCCUUAUGGGUUGUAAACUGCUUUUAUAAAGGAAUAACAACUCCUACGUGUAGGAGGAUGAAUGUACUUUAGGAAUAAGGAUCGGCUAACUCCGUGCCAGCAGCCGCGGUAAUACGGAGGAUCCAAGCGUUAUCCGGAUUUAUUGGGUUUAAAGGGUGCGUAGGCGGUAUUUUAAGUCAGUGGUGAAAGUUUGCAGCUCAACUGUAAAAUUGCCAUUGAGACUGGGAUACUUGAGUACGGUAGAGGUAUGCGGAAUGCGUUGUGUAGCGGUGAAAUGCUUAGAUAUAACGCAGAACCCCAAUUGCGAAGGCAGCAUACUGGACCGAAACUGACGCUGAGGCACGAAAGCGUGGGGAUCAAACAGGAUUAGAUACCCUAGUAGUCC